AUUGAACGCUGGCGGCAUGCUUUACACAUGCAAGUCGAACGGCAGCGCGGGCUUCGGCCUGGCGGCGAGUGGCGAACGGGUGAGUAAUGCAUCGGAACGUGCCCAGUAGUGGGGGAUAGCCCGGCGAAAGCCGGAUUAAUACCGCAUACGACCUGAGGGUGAAAGCGGGGGACCGAAAGGCCUCGCGCUAUUGGAGCGGCCGAUGUCGGAUUAGCUAGUUGGUGGGGUAAAGGCUUACCAAGGCGACGAUCCGUAGCUGGUCUGAGAGGACGACCAGCCACACUGGGACUGGGACACGGCCCAGACGCCUACGGGAGGCAGCAGUGGGGAAUUUUGGACAAUGGGGGCAACCCUGAUCCAGCCAUGCCGCGUGCGGGAAGAAGGCCUUCGGGUUGUAAACCGCUUUUGUUCGGGAAGAAAUCCUCUGGGCUAAUACCCCGGGGGGAUGACGGUACCGGAAGAAUAAGCACCGGCUAACUACGU
rnacentral:rRNA from 1 species